CAGCCGCCGCGGGAAUACAGAGGGUGCGAGCGUUAAUCGGAUUUACUGGGCGUAAAGCGUGCGUAGGCGGCUUCUUAAGUCGGAUGUGAAAUCCCUGAGCUUAACUUAGGAAUUGCAUUCGAUACUGGGAAGCUAGAGUAUGGGAGAGGAUGGUAGAAUUCCAGGUGUAGCGGUGAAAUGCGUAGAGAUCUGGAGGAAUACCGAUGGCGAAGGCAGCCAUCUGGCCUAAUACUGACGCUGAGGUACGAAAGCAUGGGGAGCAAACAGGAUUAGAUACCCCAGUAGUCCCUGUCUUUUAUAA
rnacentral:rRNA from 1 species